rnacentral:rRNA from 1 species
GACGAACGCUGGCGGCGUGCUUAACACAUGCAAGUCGAACGCUGAAGCUCAGCUUUUGUUGGGUGGAUGAGUGGCGAACGGGUGAGUAACACGUGAGUAACCUGCCCCCUUCUUUGGGAUAACGCCCGGAAACGGGUGCUAAUACUGGAUAUUCACUGGCUUUCGCAUGGGGGUUGGUGGAAAGGUUUUUCUGGUGGGGGAUGGGCUCGCGGCCUAUCAGCUUGUUGGUGGGGUGAUGGCCUACCAAGGCUUUGACGGGUAGCCGGCCUGAGAGGGUGACCGGUCACAUUGGGACUGAGAUACGGCCCAGACUCCUACGGGAGGCAGCAGUGGGGAAUAUUGCACAAUGGGCGAAAGCCUGAUGCAGCGACGCCGCGUGAGGGAUGGAGGCCUUCGGGUUGUAAACCUCUUUCGCUCAUGGUCAAGCCGCAGCUUUGGGUUGUGGUGAGGGUAGUGGGUAAAGAAGCGCCGGCUAACUACGUGCCAGCAGCCGCGGUAAUACGUAGGGCGCGAGCGUUGUCCGGAAUUAUUGGGCGUAAAGGGCUUGUAGGCGGUUGGUCGCGUCUGCCGUGAAAUCCUCUGGCUUAACUGGGGGCGUGCGGUGGGUACGGGCUGACUUGAGUGCGGUAGGGGAGACUGGAACUCCUGGUGUAGCGGUGGAAUGCGCAGAUAUCAGGAAGAACACCGGUGGCGAAGGCGGGUCUCUGGGCCGUUACUGACGCUGAGGAGCGAAAGCGUGGGGAGCGAACAGG